CAGAGUAUAGUUAAACAUUAGAACAUCUCCUUUACACCGAGAAAAUACUCGUGCAAAUCGAGUUACUCUGAC
rnacentral:tRNA from 1 species